UACGAAGGGGGCUAGCGUUGCUCGGAAUCACUGGGCGUAAAGGGCUCGUAGGCGGCCAACUAAGUCAGACGUGAAAUCCCUCAGCUUAACUGGGGAACUGCGUCUGAUACUGGAUGGCUUGGAUUCGGGAGAGGAAUGCGGAAUUCCGAGGUGUAGCGGUGAAAUGCGUAGAUAUCUGGAGGAACACCGAUGGCGAAGGCAGGUCUCUGGGCCACUACUGACGCUGAGGUGCGAAAGCGUGGGGAGCAAACAGG
rnacentral:rRNA from 1 species